UAAAUGAAAAAAAGCUAGAACACUUUCAGAUUUAGUUUUAGUAUUUAGUAGGAAUUACUUAAUAGCUGGCCUUAGAAGACAAGCUUGAUUGGUUAUGUCAUGAUUUCAUUCUGUUUAAAAUACACUUAAGAAAUUUCCCUACCUUGAGUUUAUUAAUUACAAAAGAUCAAACUGUAGCUUAUUGAAUAUAUUUAAUCAUUUCAGCUGAAACACACUUUUACUACUCUUGAAUUGAAAGUGUGGAAUAGUCUGAAACUCAGCUGUUAAAAUAGGAUUCGAAGGAGAGUGAAGCAACUUGAAGGAAUGGAGUGUUUAAGUUUUAGAGGCAAAAUAAGGGUUUCCAUGAAGUGAACCUGUAUUACACCUUGAAAACAGGUCUGAAAUGUCAAAUGAUGAAUGUCAAAUGGUUCUUUAUGCCUACUGGAUAGAAAGAAAGGAAGAGAAGCAAGCCCAAUGAAAAGAUUGCGGACAACUAUAUUUUGCUGUCUAAAGAAAUGAAAACAAAUUCCCAUUUUCAGUAUAGACUGUUUUGGAGGAAGCAGAAUUGCUGUAAUGAGGCUGCUAGUUCCAGCGUCUGGUCCUUGGUCUUCUCUUCCUCCCCCCUCUGCCCACAGCCCCAUCCUGCCCCACUUGUGUGUGAGGAGAAUCCCAUGAGGCUUCCUGGAAGCAAGAGGAAAUACAGGAAUCUUUGGAUGAUUCUCAAGUAG
rnacentral:lncRNA from 1 species